rnacentral:ncRNA from 1 species
CCUUACUCAACGGGGAGCAAAUCAUUCAUCUAGUGAAUGAAGCUGAGAUCAAGUGCGAGCUUGGGACCCGUAAACCUGAACCAGAUAAUGCUGGCGUAGGAAUUGGGUUAGGAUUUCAG